rnacentral:rRNA from 1 species
GACGAACGCUGGCGGCGUGCCUAAUACAUGCAAGUUGAGCGAUGAAGAUUGGUGCUUGCACCAAUUUGAAGAGCAGCGAACGGGUGAGUAACGCGUGGGGAAUCUGCCUUUGAGCGGGGGACAACAUUUGGAAACGAAUGCUAAUACCGCAUAACAACUUUAAACAUAAGUUUUAAGUUUGAAAGAUGCAAUUGCAUCACUCAAAGAUGAUCCCGCGUUGUAUUAGCUAGUUGGUGAGGUAAAGGCUCACCAAGGCGAUGAUACAUAGCCGACCUGAGAGGGUGAUCGGCCACAUUGGGACUGAGACACGGCCCAAACUCCUACGGGAGGCAGCAGUAGGGAAUCUUCGGCAAUGGACGAAAGUCUAACCGAGCAACGCCGCGUGAGUGAAGAAGGUUUUCGGAUCGUAAAACUCUGUUGGUAGAGAAGAACGUUGGUGAGAGUGGAAAGCUCAUCAAGUGACGGUAACUACCCAGAAAGGGACGGCUAACUACGUG